rnacentral:rRNA from 1 species
AUUGAACGCUGGCGGCAUGCUUUACACAUGCAAGUCGAACGGUAACAGGCCGCAAGGUGCUGACGAGUGGCGAACGGGUGAGUAAUGCAUCGGAACGUGCCCAGUCGUGGGGGAUAACGCAGCGAAAGCUGUGCUAAUACCGCAUACGAUCUAUGGAUGAAAGCGGGGGACCGUAAGGCCUCGCGCGAUUGGAGCGGCCGAUGUCAGAUUAGCUAGUUGGGGGGGUAAAGGCCCACCAAGGCGACGAUCGGUAGCUGGUCUGAGAGGACGACCAGCCACACUGGGACUGAGACACGGCCCAGACUCCUACGGGAGGCAGCAGUGGGGAAUUUUGGACAAUGGGCGCAAGCCUGAUCCAGCAAUGCCGCGUGCAGGAAGAAGGCCUUCGGGUUGUAAACUGCUUUUGUACGGAACGAAACGGUCUGGGUUAAUACCCUGGGCUAAUGACGGUACCGUAAGAAUAAGCACCGGCUAACUACGUGCCAGCAGCCGCCGUAAUAC